rnacentral:lncRNA from 1 species
UUUGGUUUUUUCCCCUAUUAUAUACUAUUUUUUUAAAGCUUCAAUGAAACUGCUUGAUUUCUACAACAAACUACUAGAGACAGAGUAGUUUAUAAAGAAAUUUAUUUAUACCUGUGUAAUCUCACAUCAAGAUCAAGAAAUAAAACAUUACUCAUGGGUAGAUGCCAAUGAAAUGCAAGGAAUGGAGCAGGGAAUGACUAUUCUCUAAGUAUACAUUUUUAUAUAGCCUUGACAGUUGAAUCAUUUUAAUAUUUUACAUUUCCAAAAAAUAAGUAUGAGGAGAUAAACCUAAAAAUAAAUAUAAAUAAAACCAAUAAAUCUAAUGAUAUAUUACAUUGAUUCAAUGCCUACAAAGAAUUAAAAAACUCUCAGUGGUGUAUAUUCUAAGGAAAAAAGUAAGAUAUUGGAAAAAAUUAGAUAUUGAACUUUACUUACUUAAGUUAAUUUGGUAUAGCUUACAAAACCUGUAUGUUGAUAUUUGGGGGUGCUAGUGUUCCAUUUGUGGAAGACAGGAAA